GCCUCCGUGCAGAAACGUGUGUCAGCUUCAUGUAUUCAGUGGUUUAUUGAACAUGUUCCUAGAUUUACUAAGGUGAUCAAAGUAACUGAUGGCUCUAGUGGUUGGACAAACCUUUUAUUUAUGUGUCAAUCUAUUGUGAGAUGUAAACAUUAUGACAAGGUCACUUCAAAUAAAGCUCUGUCCGUGGACCACUGCACGUGACAAGAUAGGCCAAUCAGGGCCGAGUAUGGUGACAGGUCGUCCGUGCAGCAUGUGCAGAUCAGCCUUGUCUUCCGUCCUGUGUGGUCGAUCUGAAAAAGUAUUUUGCGUGCCGGCGGGCAGCUUUCCUUGUUGACACUAACAUUUGAUGACAGGUGGAGAACGUUUGAAGGUACGACAAAUGAAAAUCCAACGUGGAAGUAAAAAAAUGACUUUGUAUUCCAUUUUCAUGACAGUUUUUGUUGAGUGUGCCACACGGAGUCAGGCCAGCAUGCCCGACCCAGAGGGAGAGAAUUCGGGUGGCUCUGGGAACCCCAAACAGCUUCCACUGUCGGGGUGGGUGACCAUGGUAAUUACAUACCUGGGGUAACUGACGUCAUUGGGGUCAGUGCCAUACACACGGGCCUUUCAUCAGUCUUCCGAGCUAACGCCAUCUGCUAUGAUGAAACUAUCAUCUAAAGAACUUCAACCUGCAUUUGGAUUCCAUCAACUGAUUACUCUGGAUACUGUACACGUAUUUAGGGACCCGUGAAGAUCCGGGGUAGAAUAGGUCUUCAGCAACCCAUGCUUGCCAUAAAUGGCGACGGGUGGUCAGGCUCGCUGACUUGGUUGAUGAAUGACAUCGUAUCCCAAUUGCGUGGAUCG